AAUACUAAGUUUUAUAAAAAUGAAACAAACUUUAUUAUUUGUAAUAGCUUUAAUAACUGUUUACUUCUGCUCGAUGACAGUGAAUUCAAAGGCUCUCGAAUUAAAAGAGCACCCCUCGUUAGCAAUGGUGACAAACAGGAAAUUGUUUUACUGUUGCAGCGGGACAAUCGUAUCAACGUGGCACAUCGUAUCGAGUUGCUUAAGCUUUGCCAAAGGUAUGGGCACCUGGAGGCAGAUCAAGGACUCGUACGAAUUUAAAGUCGUCGCAGGGAUAGUGAGUUUAGAACAAACAAAGCAGGCAUACGCGCAGAUACGUGAUAUCAAGAUUAUAAGCAUACAUCCUGGAUGUAAAACAACGCCUUACGCCACUGCAUACGAUAUUGGAGUCGUCCUAUUGAGAUCACCGUUGAUAAUCACGGAAUACGUCGCCCCAGCUAACCUGGUCUUCUACACUGAGGUAUAUUCGCUAUUUUUUUUUAACCUUAAUUGCCUGAUUGACUUGUUAAAUUGUUUAAUGUUAUUUAAAAUAAAUCAAUUUGAAACCAAUAACCAAAACGUCUGUCAUAGAAUACACUAAAAACCUUCAAAAAUUCAGACAAAUUUAAAAGUUAAAUUGUGAGAGGUUUUGUUGAGGGUGCAACUAACUUUUCAAUUCCCAAAGAUCAGUCUUGCUUUAUGUUAUCAUGGUUUGCAAACAACAGCUUGCGUGCCGGAAAGGAAAACGUGAAUAAAGAACAAUGCUCGACCGACAGCUUAGCGACAAAUGUUUCAGAAAUGUUCAACUGCAACGAAUGUUUUUUCUGUACGACGACAAGUAUGCUCUUUCUGUGUUCAGACAAGUUAACCGGCUCCUCGGUCUUCUGCGAUGACCAAUUUGUAGGAAUUUACAAUUGUAAUAAUAUGUGCGACAAGGUUUACUAUUUUGGGUCGAUAGAGACUUCAAUGUAUUGGAUCACUUAUAUCUUAACUUUGGGGGAUACAAGCCGUGCUGUUCCUUCAGUUUUUGUGAUUGUUUUGACUGCAUCGCUGCUUGUUAUGACCAGUUAGUUACAUACUAUUAAAAACUAAUUUCUGUUUAAAUAAAGUCUGAAAGACU